rnacentral:sRNA from 1 species
UCGCAACUUAAUUCGUGUGGGGUUCGAACCUGCUGCAGGUUCGGGUCGAGCGCAAGCGAGACAACGUUGCCUGCGGCAACGGCCCGAAGGGCGAGGCCACAGGCCGAGUCAUCCUGCACGACCCACCA